rnacentral:rRNA from 1 species
CCUACGGGAGGCAGCAGUGGGGAAUAUUGCACAAUGGGGGAAACCCUGAUGCAGCGACGCCGCGUGAGUGAAGAAGUAUUUCGGUAUGUAAAGCUCUAUCAGCAGGGAAGAAAAUGACGGUACCUGAUUAAGAAGCCCCGGCUAACUCCGUGCCAGCAGCCGCGGUAAUACGUAGGGGGCAGGCGUUAUCCGGAUUUACUGGGUGGAAAGGGAGCGUAGACGGCAGCACAAGUCUGGAGUGAAAUUCCGGGGCUUAACCCCGGAACUGCUUUGGAAACUGUGCAGCUAGAGUGCAGGAGAGGUAAGUGGAAUUCGUAGUGUAGCGGUGAAAUGCGUAGAUAUUAGGAGGAACACCAGUGGCGAAGGCAGCUUACUGGACUGUAACUGACGUUGAGGCUCGAAAGCGUGGGGAGCAAACAGGAUUAGAUACCCGUGUAGUC